UACGUAGGGUGCAGGCGUUAAUCGGAAUUACUGGGCGUAAAGCGUGCGCAGGCGGUUUGCUAAGACAGGUGUGAAAUCCCCGGGCUUAACCUGGGAACUGCGCUUGUAACUGGCAAGCUAGAGUGUGGCAGAGGGGGGUGGAAUUCCACGUGUAGCAGUGAAAUGCGUAGAUAUGCGGAGGAACACCGAUGGCGAAGGCAAUCCCCUGGACCUGUACUGACGCUCAUGCACGAAAGCGUGGGGAGCAAACAGG
rnacentral:rRNA from 1 species